AGCGAACGCUGGCGGCAGGCCUAACACAUGCAAGUCGAACGAAGUCUUCGGACUUAGUGGCGGACGGGUGAGUAACACGUGGGAACGUGCCUUUAGGUUCGGAAUAACUCAGGGAAACUUGUGCUAAUACCGAAUGUGCCCUUCGGGGGAAAGAUUUAUCGCCUUUAGAGCGGCCCGCGUCUGAUUAGCUAGUUGGUGAGGUAAAGGCUCACCAAGGCGACGAUCAGUAGCUGGUCUGAGAGGAUGAUCAGCCACAUUGGGACUGAGACACGGCCCAAAUUCCUACGGGAGGCAGCAGUGGGGAAUCUUGCGCAAUGGGCGAAAGCCCGACGCAGCCAUGCCGCGUGAAUGAUGAAGGUCUUAGGAUUGUAAAAUUCUUUCACCGGGGACGAUAAUGACGGUACCCGGAGAAGAAGCCCCGGCUAACUACGUGCCAGCCGCCGCCGUAACAC
rnacentral:rRNA from 1 species